CCUACGGGUGGCAGCAGUAGGGAAUAUUGCUCAAUGGGGGAAACCCUGAAGCAGCAACGCCGCGUGGAGGAUGACGGCCCUACGGGUUGUAAACUUCUUUUGUCAGGGAGCAAUUGGGUCCACGCGUGGGCUUAGCGAGAGUACCUGAAGAAAAAGCAUCGGCUAACUCCGUGCCAGCAGCCGCGGUAAUACGGAGGAUGCGAGCGUUAUCCGGAUUUAUUGGGUUUAAAGGGUGCGUAGGCGGAAUAUCAAGUCAGCGGUAAAAAUUCGGGGCUCAACCCCGUCGUGCCGUUGAAACUGAUGUUCUUGAGUGGGCGAGAAGUAUGCGGAAUGCGUGGUGUAGCGGUGAAAUGCAUAGAUAUCACGCAGAACUCCGAUUGCGAAGGCAGCAUACCGGCGCCCAACUGACGCUGAAGCACGAAAGCGUGGGUAUCGAACAGGAUUAGAUACCCGGGUAGUC
rnacentral:rRNA from 1 species